rnacentral:lncRNA from 1 species
GUGUGGGGCCUGCAUCUCUGUGAACCGCUGUUUGCCACUAUUUUUGGAGAAAUAUUUACAAAGACACUUCUGAUGCGGCAGGAGAUUUGAGAUCACAGAGAGCCGUCGACAUAACGCAGUAUCAGACACCGUGUGAAAUCUGUUAUUAUUUGGCUGGGGUUGCCCUCGCCAAGGACCACGGACUGAGUGGCUUAAACCACAGAAGUGUAGCGUCUCAUGAUUCUGGGGGCCAGAGAUCGAGUGGCGAGACCUGGCAUGGCUUUAUUUUUUGUGAAGGCCUCUCUCUCUCUUUUGCUUGUGGACGGCUGUCCUUACCCUGUAUCUUCACAUGGGCUUCCCUUUGUCCACGCACCCCCUCUGCCCUUCUAAGGACACCAGGCAUAUUGCAGUCAGGCCUGCCCUAAUGACCUCAUGUAAUCUUAAUUAUCUCUGUAGAGACCCAAUCUCCAAACGCAGUCACAUUUUGCUGGACUAGGAGUUAGGAAUAGAGGAAUCUGAGGGGGACCCUCAUAUUAACAUAAGAAUUUGAGGAGGACCCAGGUCAGUCCAGAAGAGUGUAUCCUGGCAACCCUGACUCCCUCUGACCUAAGAGAAAGCCAUACUUUUCCUAAGUGCCCUCCUGGAUGUGGAAAGAUCAAACCCCAGUUCCCUCGUGUCAGGUGGCGCUUUACAUUCUGAAACUGCCCACACAUUUUGAAACUGAAGGGGGGCGGGAAAAUGUGUUCAAAUCUAUCUAGACUCACAAUCCUCCCCUUUGCCAUUUAGCCUCUUUGCAUGCUAAGAAACCUUUGAAAAUGACAAGGCAAGUUUGAAAUGUUUCAGCUUUAAAAGAGCAAAGAGCAGUGCCCCAAAGAUGCCACCUCCUGGGCUCUGCUUCCUCCGAGGGACUGUCCCUGAGAUCCCAAACCUCCCAAGACACAGGCCUCCAGUGGCGGCAGUGGGGCAGGGGGAGGACAGGUCGUGGGAGGCCCCACACCUGUUCAUACUCUAAGGGAAGGCACAGUGAGCCUCUGGGAGUAGAAGCAACUUCAGAAGUGGCGGCUGAGCCAGGAUCUAACCUGCCAGAAGCCUGGGAGAGCUUUGGGCAAGCAAGUUUGCAGCCAGGAGAUUUCUCUCUUCUCUGGAAAUACCUGCCCCUUCACUGAGGAAGCAAGUGACAUUGGGGCCGAGGGAGGCCAUUGCACAGAGAAGGGCUUGGGGGAGGGUGUCAGUCUUGAGGACAGAGUCCAAGAAUUUGUAAGAACAGCCAGGACCAGAAAAGAGAAGGGGCGGGGGCUACACGGGGAGCACACACAGACUCAGUACAGUGAUGCUCUUUUUUCUCUCAGUCUGUUUUUCUGGCUUUAGCCAAAUAAUACAAAGCAGCUUCUCUCUUGAGCCUCAGUUUCCUCAUCUAUGAAACAAGGAUGGUAGUAGGACCUACAGUUAAAGUAGCUGCGUAGACUAAAUUAAAUAAUGCACGCAGUACAGUCAUAAAAAAUGGGCAGUUAAUGUCAGCCGUGGCUAUUGAUGUUCAAUUUUCUUUUAAAAAAAUUCUUUUAGGAGUUCCCAUCAUGGCGUAGCAGAACUGAAUCCAACUAGGAACCAUGAGGUUGCGGGUUAAAUCCCUGGCCUUGCUCAGUGGGUUAAGGAUCCGGCGUUGCCGUGAGCUGUGGUGUAGGUCGCAGACAUGGCUCAGAUCCUGCGUUACUGUGGCUCUGGCAUAGGCUGGAGGCUACAGCUCUGUUAGACUCCUAGCCUGGGAACCUCCACAUGCCGCGGGUGUGACACUAAAAAGACAAAAAGACAAAAAAAAAAAUUUUUUUUAAUUGAUUUACAAUGUUUUGUUACUUUCUGCUGUACAACAAAGUGAUCCAGUUUUACAUACAUACACAUUGUUUUUCUCACAGUAUCUUCCAUCAUGUUCCAUCACAAGUAAUUGGAUAUAGUUCCCUCAUGCAGGACCUCAUUGCUUAUCCACGCCAAAUGCAAUAGUUUGCAUCCACUAACCUCAAACUCCCUGUCCCUCCCCCUCGGCAACUACAAGUCUGUUGUCUUUGUCCAUGAGUUUGUUUCUGUUCUGUAGAUAGGUUCAUUUGUGCCAUAUUUUAGAUUUCACAUAUAAGUGAUAUAUAUUUUUUUUGUCUUUCUUUUUCUGACUUAUUUCACCUAAGUCAUGAGAAUCUCUAGUUCCAUCCAUGUUGCUGCAAAUGGCACUAUUUUGUUCUUUUUUAGGGCCGAGUAGUAUUCCAUUGCAUAUAGGUACCACAUGUUCAUUUUUCUAAGCUGAUGCUCCAUCAGGCUGUCUAUCCUCAGAAAGGAGAGGUGGCAACACGCUGGAGGACCCUGGAAGAGACUCGCUGGAGACAGAGACCCAGGCGUUGAGGAGGAGGGUGGUGUGGAGGGUGAGAACCAAGAGGAGAGGGAAGGGGCAGCCAGGUGGGGGUCGAGCCUGGGCAAAGUCAGGGUGGCAGGGCCCCAGUGGGAUGUGGGAGGUGAUGAGCCCCCUCUUCAACCUCAUGUCACCCUUGCUCUACUUGCAAGGACCCAUGAAGAGGACAGACAAGAGAGGGCCCUUUAUGUAACCCCACAAGCUUAGCUUGCAACAUCGAGGCCAAAACGGAGGCCUGCGGUAGCAGGAAUACUGACAAGUUUCUCCUCCCUGAGAGCCUGGUGUUGCUUGACUCUCCUAAAGCCCCUUCUUAAUGGAAAUGCCCUCCACCUGGUGGCCCUCCGCAGGCUCCUCGGCUCUGGGCAUUUCUGACCAAGCAUUUGUCACAGCAGUGAAGACACCUCAGUUGCUGGUUGGUCGUGUUGGGGGUGGGAGUAGAGGCUGCACAGGAAACUCAAGCAAAUUUUUCAGUUUCUCAGGUGACUUCCUAGUGACCUAGAUGAGUCAUUAGGUGUCUCUGCGUCUCCUUUGGGUUCUGCAAAAGGGGCCGGUAAUAUUCUAGAGCGCUUACCGCCAAAGGACAGAGUUCCUGCCUGACAUCUUUGAACGCGUCAGAGAGAGGGACCCUGAAACAAGUCACAAAUGGUCUCGGUUUGACAACAUGAAGCGACUAGGUUUUAAAAUUAUUUCCCUUCUGGUUAAAAUUGUUAACAUAGCUGUUUUUUGUUUUGAAAAUGAAUUAUUUUCUGGUAGGAAAUAGGGGUCCUACCCUUUCACACAUGGCAGGCAUUUUCCCAUAUUCUCUCAAAAGAAAACUUUUUUUUCCAACGCCCAUUCUUCAGAGAACUCUCCAGAAGCUGCUCUGGUACCUGAACCUAUCUUAAUAUCGGCAACACACUUUUUCUGAAAUGCUUGUUCCUGAAGUUCCCCUGUCCCUUCUCCUUGGGGCUGCCAAUCCCCUGCUUCAGCCUAUUUUCUGAGUAAAACAAACCUCAAGCAAUGUGUCUUUCUUGACCCUUCCCCACUCCCACGCCUCCAAAGUAUGCUGUCCCACCCAGGUAGAAAGGGGACAUUUCCUAUAAGACCUUUGCAGACUGUGAAUAAAGUCAGAAGGUGCUUUCAGGGAACAACAGUUGGUUCCUGAACUAUUUGGAGUUCCUGUCCUGGCUCAGUGGUAACGAACUGGCGUAGUAUCCGUGAGGAUGCAGGUUCAAUCCCUGGCCUCGCUCAGUGGGUUAAGGAUCCAGUAUUGCCGUGAGCUGUGGUGUAGGUCGCAGGAGCAACUGGAUCUGGCAUUGCAGUGGCUGUGGUGUAGGCUGGCAGCUACAGGUCCAAUUUGACCCCUAGCCUGGGAACCUCCAAAUGCCAUGGUUGAGGCCCUCAAAAGACAAGAUAAAUACAUAAAUAACUUUUGACACACUGGAAGAGUAAGCUGGACACCCCCCUGGAUGGCACAGACUUCCCUCUUCAUGCACAAACAUCCUUUUAACUUCCUGAAUCUUUCCCUUCCCCUCUGUUCUCCCGAUAACACUGAAUGAUGCCAGAGAAAGAAAGAAGGAACUCAGGUGGGAAAAUAAACCCUGCAUCCCAAAGGCGACUGAAAUGAUGCAUAUCCUUACAGCGACAUUAAGAGCAGAAAGCUCUGGGGAGUUCCCGUAGUGGCUCAGUGGUAAAGAACCCCCAACAGGUAUCCGUGGGGACACCAGAGUUCGCCACUGAGCAAGGCCUGUGCUCCAUCUUUGGCCUUGCUCAGUGGGUUAAGGAUCCAGCGUUGCCUUGAGCUGUGCUGUAGGCUGAAGACGUGGUUGAGAUCCAGCAAGGCUGUGGCUGUGGCGUAGGCCAGCAGCUGCAGUUCCAAUUGAGCCCUAGCCUGGGAACUUCCAUCUGCUGCUGGCCUGGCCUUAACAAGACGAAAAAAAAAUAAAUAAAUAAAAGGAGAAAGCUCUGGCCAGGCUUUACCGGUGAGAGCUGUGUUUGGCUGUACAGUACGGGAGAUCUAACUGCAGUGGCUCAAGCAGCCGGGCGUUGGGCCAGCGCUUGCGAGGGGUAGUUCUGGAGUGAGUGGGCCAGGACUCGUAUUAAGGGGCCGGGAGGCUCCUGUGUUCGGGUUCCACCCUGAGGCGGCCCACCCUUCAGGUCUGUCCAGGCAGGAAGCAGAUGGGAGGGGCCUCCAACCCUUCUCCUUGUGGGGCUCCAUCUUUCUAUUCAGGAAAGGAAGCCCCUUUCUGCAAACUCCCCCUUAUGGGUCUCGUGUGCCAGAACCAUUCUCACCUGGCUGGAAGGUGCACUGGACAGUGGACUUUUCCUUGUCAGCCUGCAGAGGGGAAGGUGGUUGGCAAUGAAUGGCCAUCCGGGGAGCCCAGAGCCGCAUCUGCCAUGGCAGACUGUCCCCAGGCAGAUACCCCGGUCUUUCCGGGGGACGCCUUGUCUCCUAUGUUCCCUGUGUCACCAGUGCUUUGAAAAUACAUGAGUUCUUCCUUUAGUCCUUCUUGGAAGUUGUAAGUGGAUUCUGGGUGUUGUGGGUGUGAUAAUUUUUCUUUUUCUUUCUUCGCUUUAUAAUGAAGGCCCCUUCAAGUAAAGUUCUCGUAAUUUUUUUAAUUGAAGUAUAGCUGAUUUACAAUGUUGGAUGUUAGUUCCAGGUGUACAACAGAUGUGUUUAUACUCUUUUUCAGUUUCUUUUUCAUUAUAGGGUAUUACAAGGGGUUGACUGUAUGUCCCUGUCCUGUACGGCAGGUCCUCGUUGUUGAUCUGUUUUAUAUCCAGUAGUAUGAAUCUGUUAACCCCAAGCUCCUACUUUACCCCUUCCCGUAUGCUUUAUUCUUUUUUCAUUUUUUAAAGUUUUACUGGCGUCUGGUUGAUUUACAAGGUGGUGAUCAUUGCUGCUGUACAGCAAAGAGAGUCAGUCAUACACGUACACACAUCCAUUCUUGUGCAGAAUCUCUUCCCCCGUAGGUGAUCACAGCAUCCUGGGUAGAGGUCUCUGUGCUAUACAGCAAGUCCCCAUUGGCCAGUCAUUCCAUACACCACCAUGUGCAUGUGCCAUGCCCUCCUCCCUCCCUCCCCCGACCUGUCCCCUUUGGUAACCGUAAGUUUGUUUGUUUCCAAAGUCUGCCUACCCUUUAUGCUUGAUUUUCUGAAAGCAAAACAGGGAGGAGAUGGGAUGGGGCAGGGCAGGGGGCUGGUUAAAGGGGAGUCGGGGUCACAUCUAUUUUCACGAUCAAAACUCAGAAGCACACUUACCUCUCAUAGUGUUAGAAAAGAAAAACAGCCAGCUUUGUAUGGAUGGGAGUGUUGCUUGUAUCAAAGCCACUGCACUUGGCCCUGGGGUUGAUGGAUCUCUUUGUAACUGGAAAUAGUUUCCUUUUUGCUCUUCCUCACUCCUUUGAAUUCUCAAAACCCCACGGCCCAACAGCCCUACAUCUUUUUCAAAAGAGAAUUCUUUUCUACAAAAUUUCUUGAGGGAAAUUUUCUUUCAAGUCACCCUCCUUAAAUUUACCUAAAGAUGUUUCUAUCUUUGAUGGAAAUACGACCACCAGAUAAUACUCCUCUAUCUAGGAGAGAGAGCACUUAUUCAUACCUUAUAGUCCUGCAAGUUACAGAUUACUUUUGCUUUGUAAUUACUGGCCCUAUCUGCUUCUUGAGUCUAGAUACAAAUCUACCUCCCUAGAAGCCA